GACGUAGGGGACGAGCGUUGUCCGGAUUUAUUGGGCGUAAAGCGCGCGCAGGCGGCCGCGUAAGUCGGAUGUGAAAUCCCGGGGCUCAACCCCGGAACUGCAUUCGAUACUGCGUGGCUCGAGGUAGGUAGGGGAGAUCGGAAUUCCUGGUGUAGCGGUGGAAUGCGCAGAUAUCAGGAGGAACACCGGUGGCGAAGGCGGAUCUCUGGGCCUUACCUGACGCUCAGGCGCGAAAGCUAGGGGAGCGAACAGG
rnacentral:rRNA from 1 species